AACACAUGCAAGUCGAACGGUGAAGGGGAGCUUGCUUCCUGGAUCAGUGGCGAACGGGUGAGUAACACGUGAGCAAUCUGCCCCAGACUCUGGGAUAACAGUUGGAAACAGCUGCUAAUACCGGAUAUGAGACGUGAAGGCAUCUUCAACGUCUGGAAAGAGUUUCGGUCUGGGAUGAGCUCGCGGCCUAUCAGCUUGUUGGUGAGGUAACGGCUCACCAAGGCGUCGACGGGUAGCCGGCCUGAGAGGGUGACCGGCCACACUGGGACUGAGACACGGCCCAGACUCCUACGGGAGGCAGCAGUGGGGAAUAUUGCACAAUGGGCGCAAGCCUGAUGCAGCAACGCCGCGUGAGGGACGACGGCCUUCGGGUUGUAAACCUCUUUUAGCAGGGAAGAAGCGAAAGUGACGGUACCUGCAGAAAAAGCACCGGCUAACUACGUGCCAGCAG
rnacentral:rRNA from 1 species